rnacentral:rRNA from 1 species
AACGAACGCUGGCGGCAUGGAUUAGGCAUGCAAGUCGAACGCUCAUCUUCGGAUGGGAGUGGCGGAAGGGUGAGGAACACGUGAAUAAUCUGCCCCCCAAGUUUGGAAUAACUUUCCGAAAGGAAAGCUAAUACCGAAUGUGGUUGAUUUACCGCAUGGUGAAUCAACUAAAGAUUUAUUGCUUGGGGAUGAGUUCGCGUCCCAUUAGCUAGUUGGUGAGGUAACGGCUCACCAAGGCCGAGAUGGGUAGCUGGUCUGAGAGGAUGAUCAGCCACACUGGGACUGAGACACUGCCCAGACUCCUACGGGAGGCUGCAGUCGAGAAUCUUUUGCAAUGCGCGAAAGCGUGACAAAGCAAUGCCGCGUGCCGGAUGAAGGUCUUCGGAUUGUAAACGGCUGUCACCCGUGACGAAAAAUGACGGUAACGGGAGAGGAAGCCACGGCUAACUACGUGCCAGCAGCCGCGGUAAUACGUANGUGGCGAGCGUUGUUCGGAUUUAUUGGCGUAAAGGGUCCGUANGUGGGUUGUUGAGUCUUGACGUGAAAUCCAUGGCUCAACCAUGGAACUGGCGUUGGAAACUGAUGAACUGGA